rnacentral:rRNA from 1 species
AUUGAACGCUGGCGGCAUGCCUUACACAUGCAAGUCGAACGGCAGCGGGCCUUCGGGUGCCGGCGAGUGGCGAACGGGUGAGUAAUGCAUCGGAACGUGCCAUUGAGUGGGGGAUAACGUAGCGAAAGUUACGCUAAUACCGCAUAUUCUGUGAGCAGGAAAGCAGGGGACCGCAAGGCCUUGCGCUCUUUGAGCGGCCGAUGUCAGAUUAGCUAGUUGGUGAGGUAAAGGCUUACCAAGGCGACGAUCUGUAGCGGGUCUGAGAGGAUGAUCCGCCACACUGGAACUGAGACACGGUCCAGACUCCUACGGGAGGCAGCAGUGGGGAAUUUUGGACAAUGGGCGCAAGCCUGAUCCAGCCAUGCCGCGUGAGUGAAGAAGGCCUCGGUUGUAAGACUCUUUCGGUCCGGGAACGGAAAUACGCAUGGUUAAGUACCUCGUGUGGAGUGACGGUACCGGAAGUAAGAAGACACCGGCGUAA